rnacentral:rRNA from 1 species
UAGGGAAUCUUCGGCAAUGGANGGAAGUCUGACCGAGCAACGCCGCGUGAGUGAAGAAGGUUUUCGGAUCGUAAAGCUCUGUUGUUAGAGGAAGAACGAGUGUGAGAGCAGAAAGUUCAUACUGNCCGGUACUUACCCGGAAAUCGAGGGUAACCUCCGUGCCGCCAGCCGCGUUAUUAGUUGGGUGCCAAGCGUAUUCGGGAUUUAUGGGGGUAAAGAGAAGCGCAGGCGUUUUGAAAGUUUGAAAGAAAAGGCAGUGGCUCANNGAGAAGGGCAUCGGAAACUGGAUAACUUGAGUGCAGAAGGGGAGAGUGGAAUUCCAUGUGUAGCGGUGGAAUGCGUAGAUAUAUGGAAGAACACCGGUGGCGAAAGCGGCUAUCUGGUCUGUAACUGACGCUGAGGCUCGAAAGCAUGGGGAGCGAACAGGAUUAGAUACCCUGGUAGUCCACGCCGUAAACGAUGAGUGCUAGGUGUUAGAGGCUUUCCGGGAUUCAGUGCCGGAGCUAACGCAUUAAGCACUCCGCCUGGGGAGUACGACCGCAAGGUUG